UACGUAGGGUGCGAGCGUUAUUCGGAAUUACUGGGCGUAAAGCGUGCGUAGGCGGUUCGUUGUGUCUGUGGUGAAAGCCCCGGGCUUAACCUGGGAAUGGCCAUGGAAACUGGCGAGCUGGAGUGUGGCAGAGGGGGGUGGAAUUCCGCGUGUAGCAGUGAAAUGCGUAGAGAUGCGGAGGAACACCGAUGGCGAAGGCAGCCCCCUGGGCUAACACUGACGCUGAGGCGCGAAAGCGUGGGGAGCAAACAGG
rnacentral:rRNA from 1 species